UGUCCUUAUUUGCCACGACGUAAUGGUGGGAACUCUAAGGAGACUGCCGGUGACAAACCGGAGGAAGGUGGGGACGACGUCAAGUCAUCAUGGCCCUUGUGACCAGGGCUACACACGUGCUACAAUGGGACGUACAGAGGGUUGCUAAGCCGCGAGGUGGAGCCAAUCCCAGAAAACGUUUCGUAGUCCGGAUCGAAGUCUGCAACUCGACUUCGUGAAGUCGGAAUCGCUAGUAAUCGCGAAUCAGCAUGUCGCGGUGAAUACGUUC
rnacentral:rRNA from 1 species